rnacentral:lncRNA from 1 species
GGCAGUCAUCUUGGCACCUCAGGAUACAGCAGAAGAAUCAACAAUAGUCUCAUUGGCAGGAGCAGAGAGGAUAAACCACUGUUUUACUCUUUGAUACCUCAUUCCCUAACAAAGAAGCAGCAGGUUGUGGUUUCUGAGAGCCCAGGCUACGUAGAUGGGAAUGGAAGAAUGAGAAGGUCAGGGGGAGCCAGGGCCAAGGUGGGGACUGUGUCCAGCAUAUGCAGUGCUCUUCUCUGCAGUCAUCCCUACUGCAAGGAGGAGUCUGACUGACUUCAGUAAUCAGCCUUCAAAUGGUGUGUGUCGUACAUAGACAGGAAAGUCUUUGUGGAAGCCGUUACUCAGACUGCACAGGGGGCAUGCUGCUUGGAGAUUCAGUGGUGAUCUUGCUGCUGGGACUCUGGAAGCUGGAGCACGUGUUGGAAGUAAAAGAAGACACAGGCCUGGAGAGACCUCUACGGAACGGGUAGCACUGAGUGCAGUGACGCGGUAGCUUGAGAGGUCCAUCUGCAUAAGUCACAGUCACAAAAGAGGCCCUUUGAGGCCACCGAUGGCAGUGCCAUUGCAUGGGUUAGAGUCUCUGGAGCUAAGAACACUGUAUCCGUUACUUUUCUAUAGCUAUGACAAAAUGCCUUAAGCAAGGCAACUUAUGGAAGAAAGAGUUUACUUUGGCUUGCAAUCCCAGAGGAAUGGGA